rnacentral:tRNA from 1 species
GCGGCUUUGGUCCAAUUGGUAGAUUCGACGAAGGAUAGGGUGCGCUAACUUUUAAUCAGUAGGUCGCUGGUUCGAACCCAGCAGGGCUCACCA